rnacentral:rRNA from 1 species
GACGAGGGGUCCUAGCGUUGUUCGGAAUCACUGGGCGUAAAGCGCAUGUAGGCGGCUUUUCAAGUCAGAUGUGAAAGCCCAUGGCUUAACCAUGGAAGUGCCAUUUGAAACUGUAAAGCUUGAGUAUUGGAGAGGAUGGUAGAAUUCCUGGUGUAGUGGUGAAAUACGUAGAUAUCAGGAGGAAUACCGGUGGCGAAGGCGGCAUCUGGCCAAAUACUGACGCUGAGAUGCGAAAGUGUGGGGAUCAAACAGG